rnacentral:pre_miRNA from 1 species
AAGCCAACCACAGACACCACAGAAAAGAUAAAUCUCUCUGAUGGUGUCUUAGUUGCUUUC